rnacentral:rRNA from 1 species
UACGGGGGGUGCGAGCGUUAAUAGGAAUUACUGGGCGUAAAGUGUGCGCAGGCGGCGUUGCAAGUCGAGUGUGAAAGCCCCGGGCUUAACUUGGGAAUUGCGCUCGAAACUACUUGGCUGGAGUGUGGCAGAGGAAGGUGGAAUUCCACGUGUAGCGGUGAAAUGCGUAGAGAUGUGGAGGAACACCAAUGGCGAAGGCAGCCUUCUGGGCCAACACUGACGCUCAUGCACGAAAGCGUGGGGAGCAAACAGG